AACGAACGCUGGCGGCGUGCCUAACACAUGCAAGUCGAGCGCGAAAGGGGCAACCUGAGUAGAGCGGCGCACGGGUGCGUAACACGUGGGUAAUCUGCCCCAGACACUUGGAUAACCAUCCGAAAGGAUGGCUAAUACGGGAUAAGCCCACGGCCUCUUCGGAGGCUGGGGGAAAAGGUGGCCUCUGUUUACAUGCUACCAGUCUGGGAUGAGCCCGCGGCCCAUCAGCUAGUUGGCGGGGUAAUGGCCCACCAAGGCAACGACGGGUAGCUGGUCUGAGAGGACGAUCAGCCACACUGGAACUGGGACACGGUCCAGACUCCUACGGGAGGCAGCAGUGGGGAAUUUUGCGCAAUGGGCGAAAGCCUGACGCAGCAACGCCGCGUGUGUGAUGAAGGUCUUCGGAUUGUAAAGCACUUUCGGCCGGGACGAAAAAGCGGGUGCUAAUCAGCCCGCCUUGACGGUACCGGAAGAAGAAGCACCGGCUAACUCUGUGCCAGCCGCCGCCGUAACAC
rnacentral:rRNA from 1 species